rnacentral:rRNA from 1 species
UACAGAGGUCUCAAGCGUUGUUCGGAAUUACUGGGCGUAAAGGGUGCGCAGGCCGCGCGGGCAGUCAAAUGUGUAAUUCAGGGGCUCAACCCCUGCACUGCGCUUUAUACUUCCGCGCUAGAACUUUGGAGAGGAGUCUGGAAUUCUCGGUGUAGCAGUGAAAUGCGUGGAUAUCGAGAAGAACACUAACGGCGUAAGCAAGACUCUGGACAAAUGUUGACGCUCAAGCACGAAGGCUAGGGUAGCGAACGGG